rnacentral:rRNA from 1 species
GAGAGUUAAACAGUACGUGAAAUUGUUGAAAGGGAAACGAUUGAAGCCAGUCGUACCUUCGGGGAUCGAGAUUGAGGAUUGCAACGGAUACCUUUCGGGGCUACCUGUCUGAUCUCUGAUCGUUGCUUUGGUGCUGAAAGCGUGCUUAUAGUUAUCAAAGUCGAUGGUUAAUAGGUUAGAAUGGGUUAAAUUCGUUAAGGAUGUUGACGUAAUGGCUUUAAACGACCCGUCUUGAAACACGGCUGUCUCUUAU